GCUCAGCUACCUCAGCUGGUCAGAGUGUGGUUCAAAUAACGCCAAGGUCGUGGGUUAGACCCCCGUACGGGCCA
rnacentral:tRNA from 1 species